GAAGGAAAAGGCAUGAGUUUUGAAUAAUAAAAUUGAGCUACUGAAACAGUAUUGAAUUGAUUCCCUUUCAGACUUAUUUGUCUUUUGGUUGAAAGCCAUUGUUAUUCAGGUUUUGAGUUAUUUGUAUAUAAACUCAUUGGCUAAUGAAAUGCAAUAUUCAAAGCUGGGCAUGGGAGAUGUGGCAUGAGGAGAAUGGGGAAAGCCUUUACGAAGUUAGAAAGGGUGAAUAAUAAUUCAGUAGACAAAGAAGAAAGGUCAGAUGAACAUUUCAAUUACAAGAAACAGAAUAUGUAAUGAGUCCAGAGGCACAGCAUUGCAUGGAAUGUUUUGGAUACUGUAAGUGGUCUAGCUUGGUUAGAUGCAGUUGUCCUCAGGAGGACUACACCCCAGGGAUAAUUAGUAAAUGUCAUAAUGCUCAGACAGUGAUUCCAGUGUUUACUGGGAGGCAUACUAAGUAUCUUGCAGUGUAGCUUGUGAAACUAACACAGAUAUCAUGCAGGAAACCCAUGUGGAAACACGAUCUGGGCUGUCUUCCUUGUGGACAUAACAUCACCUUUUGGGGAAAUAAGACUUCAUUCUUCAAAUGCUGAGGAAGAAAAGGGGUUCAUAGGGCAGAGCUAAUACUCAGCUUGCAUGAAGCAGUCCAGCUGGCAGAUGUGAAACAGUGAGAAAGUGGCCAUUUGCAACCCAAGAAGAGAGUUCUUAUCAGACACCAACUCUGCUGGCAUCUUGAUCUUGGACUUCCCAGCCUUCAGAUCAGUGGAAAAACGAAUUUCUAUUGUUCAAGCCCCCAAGUCCGUGGUACUUGGUUAUGGCAGCCUGAGCAGACUAAGAUACC